CACAUGUCCUCUCUCAGAAUUUCUUUGUGCUGAGUAAAACCCAAAUCUGAAGUAACUCCUUAUGAUAUAAAACACCAUAUUCUCUCUUCUGGUCGUCCAUAACCUGCAAGAAAAACCAGAGAAAAAUUGUGAGAGAUUGAGAGAAAAAUAAGAGAAAAAUCAAGAGAAAAUUUCUGGUGAUUUAAUAUUCAACCUCAGACCACAGCUAGGACGUUGUGGAAGAAGAAGAUGAGAUAUCCAGAAUAAACCCUAGCUCUUGUUCUGUUUCUGAUCUGAACCGAACCUUGAUCUCUCUUUUUAAUCGGUUCAGCCGUGAGCUAAGCUUGGAGGAGAGCACCAUCUGAGAUCAUCUAACCGUGAAUUCUUAUGGUUUGAGUUCAGAUGGUCAAAGAGGGUAGUUGGACCAGUCGGAUCACGACUUAUCCUCAUUUUGUUUUAGGAGUGAUCAGCAAGUGGUGAACGUUCAGUUGAGUUCGAGUCUAGUCUUCUUUAGCCAAUCUCAGGCACAGGGGGGUAACCUAAGAAUUGGUUGAAUGGUGGAACCAAGCUUAAAUCGGAUCGACCAAAGAUGUGGCGGAUUGGUCGAUAUGGCCGGAUUAUGACUUGAUAACCUGAAACAAAGGAAAACGAACGAGAUUAUGAUGAUAAUAACAAUAACAGGAAUAAUAAAAUGAAUGAAAGGGGAUAUAUAUGGCAGAAUCAAGCUGCUGGAUGUGUAUCACUUUCAGCUUGAUUAGAAGAUGGACCGAAGUGGAUUUGCGGAUGAAGGUUUGAUUGAAUCUCUCAGUCUGAUGGUGUGAUGGAACAUUGUGAUUGACUCUCUGAAUCU